UACAGAGACUGCAAGCGUUAUUCGGAUUCACUGGGCGUAAAGGGCUCGUAGGCGGCCAACUAAGUCAUACGUGAAAUCCCUCAGCUUAACUGGGGAACUGCGUGUGAUACUGGAUGGCUUGGAUUUGGGAGAGGGAUGCGGAAUUCCAGGUGUAGCGGUGAAAUGCGUAGAUAUCGGAAGGAACAUCAGUGGCGAAAGCGGCUUCCUGGUCCAGCACCGACGUUCAGGCACGAAAGCGUGGGGAGCAAACAGG
rnacentral:rRNA from 1 species